rnacentral:rRNA from 1 species
UACGUAGGCAGCAAGCGUUGUUCGGAAUUACUGGGCGUAAAGAGUGUGUAGGCGGUGCUCUAAGUUCGAUGUGAAAUCUCCCGGCUUAACUGGGAGGGUGCGCCGGAAACUGGAGUGCUCGAGCGUGGGAGAGGAAAGCGGAAUUCCUGGUGUAGCGGUGAAAUGCGUAGAUAUCAGGAGGAACACCGGUGGCGAAGGCGGGUCUCUGGGCCGAAAUUGACGCUGAGGAGCGAAAGCGUGGGGAGCAAACAGG